rnacentral:rRNA from 1 species
CUAACGAAUAAGGGGUGGGCAAGUUCUGGUGUCAGCCGCCGCGGUAAAACCAGCACCUCAAGUGGUCAGGAUGAUUAUUGGGCCUAAAGCAUCCGUAGCCGGCUCUGUAAGUUUUCGGUUAAAUCUGUACGCUCAACGUACAGGCUGCCGGGAAUACUGCAGAGCUAGGAAGUGGGAGAGGUAGACGGUACUCGGGAGGAAGUGGUAAAAUGCUUUGAUCUCUCGAUGACCACCUGUGGCGAAGGCGGUCUACCAGAACACGUCCGACGGUGAGGGAUGAAAGCUGGGGGAGCAAACCGGAUUAGAUACCCGGGUAGUCCCAGCUGUAAACUAUGCAAACUCAGUGAUGCAUUGGCUUGUGGCCAAUGCAGUAUUGCAGGGAAGCCGUUAAGUUUGCCGCCUGGGAAGUACGUACGCAAGUAUGAAACUUAAAGGAAUUGGCGGGGGAGCACCACAAGGGGUGAAG